rnacentral:rRNA from 1 species
AACACCCGUUCCCAUGCCGAACACGAUGGUUAAG